rnacentral:tRNA from 1 species
UCCCUGGUGGCUCAGACGGUAAAGCAUCUGCCUGCAAAGCAGGAGACCCGGGUUCGAUUCCUGGGUCGGGAA